rnacentral:rRNA from 1 species
UACGUAGGGAGCAAGCGUUGUCCGGAAUCAUUGGGCGUAAAGCGCGCGUAGGCGGCCCUGUAAGUCCGCUGUGAAAGUCAAAGGCUCAACCUUUGAAAGCCGGUGGAUACUGCAGGGCUAGAGUCCGGAAGAGGCGAGUGGAAUUCCUGGUGUAGCGGUGGAAUGCGCAGAUAUCAGGAGGAACACCGGUGGCGAAGGCGGGUCUCUGGGCCGUAACUGACGCUGAGGAGCGAAAGCGUGGGGAGCGAACAGG